AGAAGCUUAGGUUAGCCUACUAAACCACGGACCUUCAAAGCCCGAAACAGUGGUUUAAACCCACUAACUUCUG
rnacentral:tRNA from 1 species